rnacentral:tRNA from 1 species
GCGUCGGUAGCUCAAUUGGAAGAGCGCUGGUCUCCAAAACCAGUGUGUGUAGGUUCGAGUCCUACCCGUCGUG